rnacentral:lncRNA from 1 species
UUUUCAUUUGAGAAAAUAAAAGGUAGAGAUGCAAACGGGUCGGAUCUAAAGGUAUGGAGUGGAUGAAUAAAAAUAAAUCUAAAAAAAAAAUGUUAUUCUCUCACAGUUCGCUUUAAUUUUUAACCAAUAAGAAAAAAUUUUGCUAGAUUUUUUUUUUUAGUAUUAACUUUCAAAAUAGAUCGGAACAGAAUUAUCAUCAAUUC